rnacentral:rRNA from 1 species
GACGGAGGAUGCAAGCGUUAUCCGGAAUGAUUGGGCGUAAAGCGUCUGCAGGUGGCAGUUCAAGUCUGCUGUCAAAGACCGGGGCUUAACUUCGGAAAGGCAGUGGAAACUGAACAGCUAGAGUAUGGUAGGGGCAGAGGGAAUUCCUGGUGUAGCGGUGAAAUGCGUAGAGAUCAGGAAGAACAUCGGUGGCGAAGGCGCUCUGCUGGACCAUAACUGACGCUGAAACACGAAAGCGUGGGUAGCAAACAGG